AGAGUUUGAUCCUGGCUCAGGAUGAACGCUGGCGGCGUGCCUAAUACAUGCAAGUCGAGCGAACAGAUAAGGAGCUUGCUCCUUUGACGUUAGCGGCGGACGGGUGAGUAACACGUGGAUAACCUACCUAUAAGACUGGGAUAACUUCGGGAAACCGGAGCUAAUACCGGAUAAUAUAUUGAACCGCAUGGUUCAAUAGUAAAAGACGGUUUUGCUGUCACUUAUAGAUGGAUCCGCGCCGCAUUAGCUAGUUGGUAAGGUAACGGCUUACCAAGGCAACGAUGCGUAGCCGACCUGAGAGGGUGAUCGGCCACACUGGAACUGAGACACGGUCCAGACUCCUACGGGAGGCAGCAGUAGGGAAUCUUCCGCAAUGGGCGAAAGCCUGACGGAGCAACGCCGCGUGAGUGAUGAAGGUCUUCGGAUCGUAAAACUCUGUUAUUAGGGAAGAACAAAUGUGUAAGUAACUAUGCACGUCUUGACGGUACCUAAUCAGAAAGCCACGGCUAACUACGUGCCAGCAGCCGCGGUAAUACGUAGGUGGCAAGCGUUAUCCGGAAUUAUUGGGCGUAAAGCGCGCGUAGGCGGUUUUUUAAGUCUGAUGUGAAAGCCCACGGCUCAACCGUGGAGGGUCAUUGGAAACUGGAAAACUUGAGUGCAGAAGAGGAAAGUGGAAUUCCAUGUGUAGCGGUGAAAUGCGCAGAGAUAUGGAGGAACACCAGUGGCGAAGGCGGCUUUUUGGCCUGUAACUGACACUGAGGCGCGAAAGCGUGGGGAGCAAACAGGAUUAGAUACCCUGGUAGUCCACGCCGUAAACGAU
rnacentral:rRNA from 1 species